GGGGGUUGGGAGGGCAGGCUGAUGUGCCAGUGGGGGCCAAGACGCUGGUGGUGAGGGGUUGCUUGUCCGCCUGACAUGACUCUUAUUUGGUCGUCAUGGUAAUGCCACAGUAACGCUGCGGUAAUGCCAUAGCAACGACACCAAAUGGCAGGCGAAUGAGAGCUAGGCUGCAUCUUCCACAAAUGUCCUUGGUUCACUGUUUGAAAGGUGAUAACGUGCGACAUUACAUACAAACUCUGACCCAUUUGGGCCACGUUUACAGGUCAACCUCGCUCGGCAGUCAACAAUCUUUGACUAUUUAGAAUGAAUUACUUCCUGUGGGUCAUGUGAAAACAACAAGUGAUGUCAUAUAAAGGGGGACAGUUAAACUCUAGUGUAGAGCUUCCUUCCACUUGAAAAACAGCUCCUCUACAGGUUACGCUUCCAGUCCACUCUGUAUCUCUGUAGCUAGAACUAAAAGACACCCUGAAUGCUCCAAUAUCAAAGCCAAGGAAGAAGAAGAAGGUGUUUAGCAGAGAGGAAGCAGAGAAGCCUGUAUAAAGUCAGGGAACACCCACUGUAUUGUAUUUACAGAUGUAGGAUCUUAAUUUGAGCCAGUCUCCUACAGCAGGAAAAUAAUCAUACAGCAACAGGACAUUUUAAUUAUAAUGUGGAUUAUAAUGAAUGGAGAUUUUUGUAGCGUCUGAAAAAAUUUCGUAAGGGAAAAUCAAGUGUGAAAUUUCAAAGUGGAAAUACACUACAAGUACAAAAUACACUACAAGUUUUAAAUGUCCUGCAUUGCAGAAAUAUUUUCCUGCAACAGGGUAAUCAAAUGAAGAUCCUACAUACAGUAUGUAGAUGUCCAGGGAGCAUGUCUGCUGUCGGCCACAACAGCGCCUCCAAACCCCAGCGUUGCUACCAAAACAUGUUGUUGUGGUGUUGUGGUUGAGGUGGCUGUGAUGUGUAGUAAACAAACAGCUUCUUUUGUACAUUGUGUCGGGGUGAGGGAUGUGGGCGGGUUGGAUAUGUAGCUAUAAAUUACAAACAUGGGAGCUGUCUACACCCCAUCGACGUAUCCCAACAUUCACCCUUUUCCCUAUACAGUGCAAUACUGGUCAAAAGCAGAGCACUAUAUAGGGAAUAGGGUGCCAUUUGGGAUGCAGUUUGACUCCUCCAUCCGUCUUCGAUAUGGGCUCAGGAUUGUUCUGAGAGACAGAGAGAAGAAAGGGAUUGACGGUUCCGUCAGACGGGUCGCAAAACCAACCGAUAAAGAUUUAUUCAAUUCUCUUUUAAACGUUCUAUUUAUAUCGAGCUCUACUUUAGUAACAUCCUUCUAUAUUUAAACAUUGUACUAAUAACAUGCUGUCAGACAUGGUGGGGAAAAGUCCAUUGUAGCCAUUAACUAAUGUUACAUUUACUGUAUUACUGAGUAAGAAAAAAAAAACAUUUAUAUAUAUGAUGAAUAUAAAUAUAUCUAUUUGUGAUCUGCAACCCUUGGAAUUAAGUUCGCCCUUUGAUUUUUGAUAAUCGAUAUUAUGAUUUUAUGGGCGCCGGACUUAAUGCACUGUCGACCAUUCCUGGGAGAUUUCUAUACCUGUGUAGUGUUAUUACCUGUUUGUCUAUUUACUCCUCCUUUGGUUCCGCUAUUGAAUGUAACUUCCAAAAACUUUUUAUGUGAAUGUCGUUAUAUAUAUAUAAAAAAACAAAAUGUCAAAGUACAAUGUAUAUGCAGUACACUACACGAUGAUAAUAUAGCUGAACGUUUCAUCUGAUAAAAUGCUGGACUUCAGACGGUCACACCGAUGCCAAUACAACUGGUGAGGGUAUUUUACGUAGGAACAAGUGGGGAGGGUAUUAUGUGGAGCACACCAGUGCCCUGCAGACAGACAUCCUCCAGAUAAGAACCGUGUAAUCAUUUACUGGAUCAGUCAGAACUCUUCGCACCAAGGCUUUUCACAUCUGACGAGAACAAGAACACCAGGAGAGGAGCAUCGCAGUCUGUCCUGUGUGCCAGAUCAAAUGUGUUUUUUAAAUAUUGAUCUAUUUUGUAUUUAUUCUUCUCUCUCCUGAGGUGAAAGAGAGGGAGAGAGAGCGAGUGAGUGAGGACCAAGUGAGGGACUAGUGCUGAGAGUGGGUGGGGGGUGGUGGUGAGGGAGGGUUCUGUCACACCUUGAUCUGUGUUGGAGGGGAUUUGUGACCUAUACACAAGAGGAGGGUUGAGGAUCCAGGUUUGAAGACGGGGAAUAAGGGGACUCCUUAUCCCUCUCCUCUCUGAUUGGAGGACAGGAUGGUACUGUAAAACUCUGAGCUCUCUUUCCUUUCUGAGUUCACCUUAGCCUCUGCUGCACAUCAAGCUUCCCUACACCACAAUGAGCUGCUACCCCUGGACACAGGUGUGACUGUAUCUGACAGGCUGGUCUACGGACGUUUCCCUGGACUCAGGUGUGACUGUAUCUGACAGGCUGGUCUACGGACGUUUCCCUGGACUCAGGUGUGACUGUAUCUGACAGGCUGGUCUACGGACGUUUCCCUGGACUCAGGUGUGACUGUAUCUGACAGGCUGGUCUACGGACGUUUCCCUGGACUCAGGUGUGACUGUAUCUGACAGGCUGGUCUACGGACGUUUCCUUGGACUCAGGUGUGACUGUAUCUGACAGGCUGGUCUACGGACGUUUCCCCGCAGUGUAAUGGAUGGAAGGUUCCGGAUAAAUAAACCCACUUUGCUGCAUUCUUGUCCUCAGAGAAGACAGAACGGGUAUCUUCACAGGUGGACAGGGGACAGCUGUUUGUUUGUUAACAUGUUAACUAACAGGUGUAUGUUAGGUAUGCAUGUAGCAUAAAUAAUGAGACCUGAACCAGUAAAGUGUGUGUGUGUCAUAGAGAAACAACUCUGUCCACUUCUAACCACUCAAUCUGUUGUUGUCAAGUUGUCAUUGCAAAGCUCAAGGGACUCUUGAUGUGAAGUCACAUCUGCACUGGCACUGAGAGAGACUGAGACCUCAUGUAUUAAAAAAGACAAGCAAACAAAUAAAUACAUUUUAAAAACGAUGAUGUCACUAACAGAGAUCUGAGAUCUUUAAGGGGUUUUACUUAUCCUGAUAAUCUGAUUCUACUGCUGUUAUUUUUUGGGUCUGUUUGAGACUUCCUUCCUGUUUAGAUGUAGACCUUGCUGUUCAACCCUGGGGAAAGAGAUGUAUGAUAAAAGCGGUUAUAAAAUGAGUCCUGUGCACACGUUGACCACUGCACUAUUGUGAAUAUGUCGGUCUAUCGGACUUACACAUUCAAAUAAACGUGCAGAAGUGGAUGUUAGUGCAGGGAUACAUUUUGUCAUUGAGCAUAGAAAAUUGUUAAUAAUUUAUAUUCCCAGCACCGCUGAAAGCGGUGGUAGUGUGUCUGUGUGCUGAUAUUUGCUCUGAAAUGGCUUAAUUCUCAUUUGAAAUAAAAAAAACGUAACUCUGCAAGACGUUGAUGUCAUUGAGGACCUUACGCAAACAUGUGAUUUAAGUGUGUAGAUCUUGAGUUAGGAUUUGGCCCAAACAAGUGUGAAGCAGCCUUCACUAUAGCUCUGUUACUGUCUGAGGCUAAUUACCGUACCGUACCCUACCCCUACCCGCUGCUCCUAAAGUUACGUAUACCUCUGUGCCCCCUAACCCAAAGCCCACAUCCAACACUCAUUCCAAUGAUGGCUUCCUGAAAAUCCACAAGCUUCCUUACAAAAACCAAAUGUCGGUUUCCUCGAACAUCCUGAUUUGUUUACAACCUAAACCCUAAUGCAAAUACCCAGACCCCGUCUCAUCUGAAUCCAGAAACCUCAGUCCAAAACCCAACCCAGUUCAGACCCAGUUUAUCCUGUAGUACCCGAACCAGCUCUCAAACCCCUAAGCCAAAACCACAGACCUACCUCCCCUAUAGUUUAUCGAUCUCCGUCCCCAUCCGUCCCCAUCCGUCACCGUCCUAGUUCACAACGCCCUCUGCAGUCCCCCAAAAGCACAAAGGUUAGAGUGGUGUAGGAGUAAGCUGACGCUGUGAAAGAGAAACCCUUCCAUUCUGUUUGUGUUGGUCUGUUUACGGCUUAUAAAUGUGGUGCUUUUGUAUUCCGAAUGUACAGAUGCUCCUUUUUCUGUCUAUGUCAGAACGUUGUAUUAGUGGAAAUUCAAAACGACGACUCUUCAUGUGCUUCAAACACAUCUAUUUCUGUUUUUAUUUUCUUCUUUUUUGGCAAUUGCUCCAAGGUCAUAUAGAUUAAAAGAUGAGUAGGUAAACAAAAUACAUAAAUAAAG
rnacentral:lncRNA from 1 species